CCCGGCACAAGCGGUGGAGCAUGUGGUUUAAUUCGACGCAACGCGAAGAACCUUACCAGGGCUUGACAUCCCCUGACCGCGUACGAAAGUACGUUUCACCUUCGGGUGACAGGGAGACAGGUGGUGCAUGGUUGUCGUCAGCUCGUGUCGUGAGAUGUUGGGUUAAGUCCCGCAACGAGCGCAACCCUUAUCUUUAGUUACCAUCAUUCAGUUGGGGACUCUAAAGAUACUGCCCCGGUCAACGGGGAGGAAGGUGGGGAUGACGUCAAAUCAUCAUGCCCCUUAUGACCUGGGCUACACACGUACUACAAUGGCGUAUACAACGGGAAGCGAAAUGGUGACAUGGAGCAAAUCUCACAAAGUACGUCUCAGUUCGGAUUGAAGUCUGCAACUCGACUUCAUGAAGUCGGAAUCGCUAGUAAUCGCGGAUCAGCAUGCCGCGGUGAAUACGUUCUCGGGCCUU
rnacentral:rRNA from 1 species